UACAGAGGUCUCAAGCGUUGUUCGGAUUCAUUGGGCGUAAAGGGUGCGUAGGCGGCGCGGUAAGUCGGGUGUGAAAUCUCGGAGCUUAACUCCGAAACAGCAUUCGAUACUGCCGUGCUUGAGGACUGGAGAGGAGACUGGAAUUUACGGUGUAGCGGUGAAAUGCGUAGAUAUCGGGAGGAACACCGGUGGCGAAGGCGGCCAUCUGGACGGUAACUGACGCUGAGACGCGAAAGCGUGGGUAGCAAACGGG
rnacentral:rRNA from 1 species